rnacentral:rRNA from 1 species
UACGGAAGGCAGCAGUGGGGAAUAUUGCACAAUGGGCGAAAGCCUGAUGCAGCUAUGCCGCGUGUAUGAAGAAGGCCUUAGGGUUGUAAAGUACUUUCAUCGGGGAGGAAAAAACAAAACUAAUAAUUUUAUUUCUUGACGUUACCCGAAAAAGAAGCACCGGCUAACUCCGUGCCAGCAGCCGCGGUAAUACGGAGGGUGCUAGCGUUAAUCAGAAUUACUGGGCGUAAAGAGCACGUAGGUGGUUUUUUUAAAGUCAGAUGUGAAAUCCCUGGGCUUAACCUGGAACUGCAUUUUGAAACUGAAAUACUAGAGUAUCGUAGAGGGAGGUAGAAUUCUAGGUGUAGCGGUGAAAUGCGUAGAUAUCUGGAGGAAUACCUGUGGCGAAAGCGGCCUCCUAAACGAAUACUGACACUGAGGUGCGAAAGCGUGGGGAGCAAACAGGGAUUAGACUACCCGU